rnacentral:rRNA from 1 species
ACAUACGACCAUAGACUCAAGAGAAUUGGGCAUCCCGUCCGCUCUGCCAUACACAAGCUUGAGAUCGGUGGAUUAGUAGUUGGGUGGGUGACCACCAGCGAAUACCCACUG